rnacentral:rRNA from 1 species
UGGAUCCAGAUUUGAUUAUGGCUCAGGAUGAACGCUAGCUACAGGCUUAACACAUGCAAGUCGAGGGGCAGCAUGGUCUUAGCUUGCUAAGGCCGAUGGCGACCGGCGCACGGGUGAGUAACACGUAUCCAACCUGCCGUCUACUCUUGGACAGCCUUCUGAAAGGAAGAUUAAUACAAGAUGGCAUCAUGAGUCCACAUGUUCACAUGAUUAAAGGUAUUCCGGUAGACGAUGGGGAUGCGUUCCAUUAGAUAGUAGGCGGGGUAACGGCCCACCUAGUCUUCGAUGGAUAGGGGUUCUGAGAGGAAGGUCCCCCACAUUGGGACUGAGACACGGUCCAGACUCCUACGGGAGGCAGCAGUGAGGAAUAUUGGUCAAUGGGCGAGAGCCUGAACCAGCCAAGUAGCGUGAAGGAUGACUGCCCUAUGGGUUGUAAACUUCUUUUAUAAAGGAAUAAAGUCGGGUAUGCAUACCCGUUUGCAUGUACCUUAUGAAUAAGGAUCGGCUAACUCCGUGCCAGCAGCCGCGGUAAUACGGAGGAUCCGAGCGUUAUCCGGAUUUAUUGGGUUUAAAGGGAGCGUAGAUGGAUGUUUAAGUCAGUUGUGAAAGUUUGCGGCUCAACCGUAAAAUUGCAGUUGAUACUGGAUAUCUUGAGUGCAGUUGAGGCAGGCGGAAUUCGUGGUGUAGCGGUGAAAUGCUUAGAUAUCACGAGGAACUCCGAUUGCGAAGGCAGCCUGCUAAGCUGCAACUGACAUUGAGGCUCGAAAGUGUGGGUAUCAAACAGGAUUAGAUACCCUGGUAGUCCACACGGUAAACGAUGAAUACUCGCUGUUUGCGAUAUACUGCAAGCGGCCAAGCGAAAGCGUUAAGUAUUCCACCUGGGGAGUACGCCGGCAACGGUGCAACUCAAAUGAAUUGACGGA